GUGCUCGCUUCGGCAGCACAUAUACUAAAAUUGGAACGAUACAGAGAAGAUUAGCAUGGCCCCUGUGGAAGGACAAAAGCCAUAUGACCCAGCCAUCCCACCUCAGA